CACACUUCCAAAUUUCACCUUUGAUAGCGUUUGGAGAUUUACACUGGCGUCAUGCAGACCAAUACAAGACACCUCGAAACAUGUUUAUGUUAUAGGAGGCCACAGGCAAAAGGGCCAAAUCAAAUGGACACUCUUCAGUCGGUGCCGAUCAAACAGCGCCUGAAGAUCCAAUUUCAGGACCGGCGAGAACUACGGCAACUUACAACGUGGAUUGACAGAUUGUCCUCCUGCUUCAUAUUCAUUUCCUUUCCAGUCAGUCAGACAACAAUUCCCCUUGGAUUUGUGUAACACAACAAAGAUAUGGAAGAAGACACAACUGUCUUACCUCAGGGUUACUGUGAAGGACGGAGUCAAAAGGAAAGUCAUCCGAGUCACUGCAGGGCAAUGUCGUCUCAUGCAGGUUCACCAUCAGCCUAUACAUCCUUCCAGUCUGAAGAGAGAGACAGAGCCAAGCACUGAUGUAGGACCACCAUGGAAUAUAAUGCCAUUGGCGAGUAUGGGGUUAGUGAUUCUUCAUGUAACAUCAGGGGAGGGUUUGGUUGAAUUUAAAGAUUUAUUUAUUUAGUGUCUCUAUAGAGACAAUGGAGAUAUUCUAACAGAAAAUGUGGCUUUUUUAAUUCAUGGUUCGGGACAACAUGUUUUAAUAGCCCAUUAAAAGUUGCCUAAGGUAAGGCUCCUGAAUGUUGCAGUUAGCUGCAUCACUGUGAGACCAGGGUGUGGAUUAGCAUAACCCAGGAGUUCCACAGGGGGCAGUGGAACUGGCCAGCACCAUCCGGGUUUGUGAGUGUUAAUAAUAAUCGAGUACCUCAUUGAACUAGCAACACCUUGUGGCGCUAUUGGCGCCUGUGAACUCUAUCAAGUUAGAAGACCGGAGAGUGUGCUCCCUCCGGCCUGUAAGGAUUCCAGUAUAGCCUUACUGGUUAGGGUCAAGAUGAAGGAAGUCAUCCUCAGAGCAGGUGGAGCCUGCAGAGUCUGUAGAGGGACUGGUCACCCUACAGGGUCUCACCAUCACCCGUGUCACCCUUCCACACUGAGGAGACAAAGGCUUGUACUCAAGGACACCAUUUAAUAUACUACCAUUGGUUAAUAUGUAGAUAGGGAGUCUUCAUUUGUAUUCAAG
ensembl:lncRNA